UGUGACUACAUAACUUCUAUUUUCUAUGAUUUUAAUUGUGUUUAUACAUGUGCAGAUGUAAAAGAACGAAAUAAAUCAGAUUAACCUGUAUACAUGCAGGAAGACAUUAGAGUAUUGGCGAGAAAUCCAGGUGUGUUCAUCACAUUUCUCAAUCAG